GUCAUGGUGCCAAGGUGUCAUGGUGCCAUGGUGUCAUUGUGUCAUGGUGUCAUGGUGUCACGGUGCCACGGUGUCAUGGUGUCGUCGUGUCAUGGUGUCGUGGUGGGGCUCUUUGGAGCUGGCCAGGAGGUGAGGUGGAGCGUGUGUGGUGGCCACGGCAGAAAUGAGAAACUGCCAACAGCUGGACACAUAAGGCAGAUGUGGGUGCUGGAAGUCAUUAGCCUGGCAAACGCAUAGCACUGCAUAUUACCUAAUCAUAAUGAGAAAACGUACACAACUUCAAAAUUCUGCAAUGUAGAAAUUUUUUAAAGCUCAAGAUGCAACAAGACCAUCACAGCAACUUUAUUCUAAGGGGCAAGCUCUUGGAAGAGUCAUACUUCCUCUAUUCACCGAGUCUUUUACUGGUUUCAAAACUGGUGUGAUGAAAUAAAGAAUUACGGCUACAGGCUGAAGAGAGGAGCUAGAAAAUAUUCUGCUGUAUUUUGAACCUUCACUGUUGUUCCAGGAGGGUGUCCUUACUUCACCAUUUGCCAUGAAAAGCCAUGAAAAAAGAAAGCAGUAUGUGUCAUAAAAAUGAAAGCGGUAUUUGUGAAGCACUCGGCUACUUCAGUGCCAUCGGAAAAAAUGAAGAAACUACUAAUUCUGUCCUCAGAACAAGAGCUGUGCAGUGGGAAGUGACUUGAGUAUGGAAUAAUGCAUUAAGAAAGAAAGUUGAAAAGAAGUAUUUAAUAAACUUCAUGCAAAAAUCCUGUGGGAAGCAUAGUAUGAGAGUCUAUAAGCCAAGACAGUGUCUUAAUUUUUUGCAAUCACAUCUGCAACAGCCCAAACUGGCAUUUCACAGAUAACCUUAACUGGGUAUUUUCUAAAUUUUGAGUGCCUAGUUCUGCAGCCUUAAGACCAUUCUUUUGUCAUAGUAUUUUCAGUGUACAAAUGUGUAAUAUACAAAAGAAUAAUAACUUAAGCUAGUGAACAAGUUGUGUACCUUCCUCUCCAGAAGUUAAUUUGAUAGAAAAUACAUUGAAAAGACAGUUUUCACAUUUUAGCUAUGCUUAUGUUAGCUGUGCUGUAGAACAUGGCAUCCUCCUUGGUGGUGAAAAGAUGUUUUACUUGUUGACUGGAUGUACUGACGGAAUUAACUUGUCUGUAAUUCAGCUGUGUAGGGUAGACAGCAUCAUGUUCACUGUGACUCUGAUUGUCAGGGCAGCCGGUGGUCACAUAAAGGAAUUUUUGGUCUAUUAAUGGCUAACGAAACAAAUAGGCUAUUUGAAAAUAUUGCUAACCUUUUAUGCCAAAAUCCCUGACAAUUUUGAUGUCGCACAUAGACACCUGUGGAGCUAAAUAUUCUUUCUUAUAGUGUUUUACUUAAUAAAAGAGAUUCAGUAAAAAGCCAUCUGAAGUCCUGGGUAUGUUUUGUCUCCUACCAGGAUGUCUGGAGGAAAUUGCUCCUUUCAAUGUGUUUGUAAAGAAAGCUCAGAAUAA